rnacentral:rRNA from 1 species
AAAUUGAAGAGUUUGAUCAUGGCUCAGAUUGAACGCUGGCGGCAGGCCUAACACAUGCAAGUCGAACGGUAACAGGAAGCAGCUUGCUGCUUUGCUGACGAGUGGCGGACGGGUGAGUAAUGUCUGGGAAACUGCCUGAUGGAGGGGGAUAACUACUGGAAACGGUGGCUAAUACCGCAUAACGUCGCAAGACCAAAGAGGGGGACCUUCGGGCCUCUUGCCAUCAGAUGUGCCCAGAUGGGAUUAGCUUGUUGGUGAGGUAACGGCUCACCAAGGCGACGAUCCCUAGCUGGUCUGAGAGGAUGACCAGCCACACUGGAACUGAGACACGGUCCAGACUCCUACGGGAGGCAGCAGUGGGGAAUAUUGCACAAUGGGCGCAAGCCUGAUGCAGCCAUGCCGCGUGUAUGAAGAAGGCCUUCGGGUUGUAAAGUACUUUCAGCGGGGAGGAAGGUGUUGUGGUUAAUAACCGCAGCAAUUGACGUUACCCGCAGAAGAAGCACCGGCUAACUCCGUGCCAGCAGCCGCGGUAAUACGGAGGGUGCAAGCGUUAAUCGGAAUUACUGGGCGUAAAGCGCACGCAGGCGGUCUGUCAAGUCGGAUGUGAAAUCCCCGGGCUCAACCUGGGAACUGCAUUCGAAACUGGCAGGCUUGAGUCUUGUAGAGGGGGGUAGAAUUCCAGGUGUAGCGGUGAAAUGCGUAGAGAUCUGGAGGAAUACCGGUGGCGAAGGCGGCCCCCUGGACAAAGACUGACGCUCAGGUGCGAAAGCGUGGGGAGCAAACAGGAUUAGAUACCCUGGUAGUCCACGCCGUAAACGAUGUCUACUUGGAGGUUGUGCCCUUGAGGCGUGGCUUCCGGAGCUAACGCGUUAAGUAGACCGCCUGGGGAGUACGGCCGCAAGGUUAAAACUCAAAUGAAUUGACGGGGGCCCGCACAAGCGGUGGAGCAUGUGGUUUAAUUCGAUGCAACGCGAAGAACCUUACCUGGUCUUGACAUCCACGGAAGUUUUCAGAGAUGGAUUUGUGCCUUCGGGAACCGUGAGACAGGUGCUGCAUGGCUGUCGUCAGCUCGUGUUGUGAAAUGUUGGGUUAAGUCCCGCAACGAGCGCAACCCUUAUCCUUUGUUGCCAGCGGUCCGGCCGGGAACUCAAAGGAGACUGCCAGUGAUAAACUGGAGGAAGGUGGGGAUGACGUCAAGUCAUCAUGGCCCUUACGACCAGGGCUACACACGUGCUACAAUGGCGCAUACAAAGAGAAGCGACCUCGCGAGAGCAAGCGGACCUCAUAAAGUGCGUCGUAGUCCGGAUUGGAGUCUGCAACUCGACUCCAUGAAGUCGGAAUCGCUAGUAAUCGUGGAUCAGAAUGCCACGGUGAAUACGUUCCCGGGCCUUGUACACACCGCCCGUCACACCAUGGGAGUGGGUUGCAAAAGAAGUAGGUAGCUUAACCUUCGGGAGGGCGCUUACCACUUUGUGAUUCAUGACUGGGGUGAAGUCGUAACAAGGUAACCGUAGGGGAACCUGCGGUUGGAUCACCUCCUUACCUUAAAGAAGC